CAAAAACUCAAGUCAAACUUCACACAACAAUGAUGGACACAGAGAACAGUAUAUUCUUCCCCUCCUAUCUGCCGGCUGAAUUGUACACCUCAUUACAGUUCAAGAACAACAGAUACAAAUGCAGUAAAAUUGCAAGCAAUUAAUACAAAAUAAUAAAUAAAUAAAAGGGGGACAAAAAAGUAAAACUACAAUUUGAGAAGCAAGAGUAAGAGCCAUGAUUUAAAAACCGAGUCCCCUGUUUGAUUGAUAGAUUUUUAGUUGCACUAGGAUCUCUGCUUUAUAAACUGCCAAAUCCCUGUAAGAAACACAAAAAACAAAACAAAAACACACGAGUCUCUUGCAGCAUGACUUCAUCAAAAUUUGCUUUAGUAACAGCUGUGCCUUGUU
rnacentral:misc_RNA from 1 species